rnacentral:lncRNA from 1 species
AGCAUACUCUACUCCGUAGGAAAUUCCAUUCAACACGGUCAUAUGCUUUGUGCAUAUCCAGCUUCUCUACACAAUAACACCAUUUACCUUUCUUCUUGUUGUUUUUUCCUGAUCGUAUGCAAAUGUGUGCCAGUACUGCUAUUUGCCGCAAAGAGAGAGAGAGGGUGAAAGAGAGAGCAUCGCCAAACCCCAAACAAACCCCCAAAGUGCCAAAUCCACGCACAAAGGUAAAGAAAGGACCACACGAUCACAGGAUACGCAACCGGACCCGAUUGACCCGUUCCAUCCAAACCC